rnacentral:snoRNA from 1 species
GCCCUCUCACGGCUGCACCUGGAGAGUUUCCAGUACUCUACCAGUCUCAGCUAUGGGAGGGAGAGUUAAGCAGAGGCCUAGCCAUUCCAUUCCUAGCUUGGCCAGUGGCUAGCGAGCAGAUGGCAAUCUGCUACAAGU